rnacentral:rRNA from 1 species
GAGAGUUUGAUCAUGGCUCAGGACGAACGCUGGCGGCGUGCCUAAUACAUGCAAGUAGAACGCUGAAGGAGGAGCUUGCUCUUCUGGAUGAGUUGCGAACGGGUGAGUAACGCGUAGGUAACCUGCCUGGUAGCGGGGGAUAACUAUUGGAAACGAUAGCUAAUACCGCAUAAUAGUAGAUGUUGCAUGACAUUUGCUUAAAAGGUGCAAUUGCAUCACUACCAGAUGGACCUGCGUUGUAUUAGCUAGUUGGUGGGGUAACGGCUCACCAAGGCGACGAUACAUAGCCGACCUGAGAGGGUGAUCGGCCACACUGGGACUGAGACACGGCCCAGACUCCUACGGGAGGCAGCAGUAGGGAAUCUUCGGCAAUGGACGAAAGUCUGACCGAGCAACGCCGCGUGAGUGAAGAAGGUUUUCGGAUCGUAAAGCUCUGUUGUAAGAGAAGAACGAGUGUGAGAGUGGAAAGUUCACACUGUGACGGUAUCUUACCAGAAAGGGACGGCUAACUACGUGCCAGCAGCCGCGGUAAUACGUAGGUCCCGAGCGUUGUCCGGAUUUAUUGGGCGUAAAGCGAGCGCAGGCGGUUAGAUAAGUCUGAAGUUAAAGGCUGUGGCUUAACCAUAGUACGCUUUGGAAACUGUUUAACUUGAGUGCAAGAAGGGAGAGUGGAAUUCCAUGUGUAGCGGUGAAAUGCGUAGAUAUAUGGAGGAACACCGGUGGCGAAAGCGGCUCUCUGGCUUGUAACUGACACUGAAGCUCGAAAGCGUGGGGAGCAAACAGAUUAGAUACCCUGGUAGUCCCCGCCGUAACGAUGAGUGCUAGUGUUAGACCCUUUCAGGUUAGUGCCGUAGCUACGCAUAAGCACUCCGCUGGGGAGUACGACGCAAGUGAAACUCAAAGAUUGACGGCCGCACAGCGGUGGACAUGUGUUAUCGAGCACCGAGACUACAGCCUGAAUCUUGACGCUAGAUAGCUCUCGGCAGUACGUGGCAUGUGCUCAGUGUCUGGAUUGUAGUCGAAGGCACAAUGCAUGCAUUAUGGCACUACGAUCGUAACUGAUGGUAUCCAUCUGCCUAACUGGGU